rnacentral:rRNA from 1 species
CCUACGGGUGGCUGUAGUGGGGAAUAUUGGACAAUGGGGGGAACCCUGAUCCAGCCAUGCCGCGUGUGUGAAGAAGGCCCUCGGGUUGUAAAGCACUUUCAGUGAGGAAGAACGCCUGGUGGUUAAUACCCAUCAGGAAAGACAUCACUCACAGAAGAAGCACCGGCUAACUCCGUGCGAGCAGCCGCGGUAAUACGGAGGGUGCGAGCGUUAAUCGGAAUUACUGGGCGUAAAGCGCGCGUAGGUGGCUUGAUAAGCCGGUUGUGAAAGCCCCGGGCUCAACCUGGGAACGGCAUCCGGAACUGUCAAGCUAGAGUGCAGGAGAGGAAGGUAGAAUUCCCGGUGUAGCGGUGAAAUGCGUAGAGAUCGGGAGGAAUACCAGUGGCGAAGGCGGCCUUCUGGACUGACACUGACACUGAGGUGCGAAAGCGUGGGUAGCAAACAGGAUUAGAUUACCCGUGUAGUC